rnacentral:rRNA from 1 species
CCCUUAGAUGUUCUGGGCCGCACGCGCGCUACACUGACAGAGCCAACGAGUUCUUCACCUUGGCCGGAAGGUCUGGGUAAUCUUGUUAAACUCUGUCGUACUGGGGAUAGAGCAUUGCAAUUAUUGCUCUUCAACGAGGAAUGCCUAGUAAGCGCGUGUCAUCAGCACGCGUUGAUUACGUCCCUGCCCUUUGUACACACCGCCCGUCGCUACUACCGAUUGAAUGGCUCAGUGAGGCCUUCGGACUGGCUCAGGGAGGUUGGCAACGACCACCCCGAGCCGGAAAGUUCGUCAAACUCGGUCAUUUAGAGGAAGUAAAAGUCGUAACA